rnacentral:tRNA from 1 species
GGGGAGAUUCCCGAGUUGGCCAAAGGGAACAGACUGUAAAUCUGUCGGCUUAUGCCUUCGGAGGUUCGAAUCCUCCUCUCCCCA